rnacentral:rRNA from 1 species
CUAAGAAUAUUCCGCAAUGGGCGAAAGCCUGACGGAGCGACGCCGCGUGGAUGAGGAAGGCCGAAAGGUUGUAAAAUCCUUUUGCGGGCGAAGAAUAAGCGCGGCAGGGAAUGGCCGCGCGAUGACGCUAGCCCGUGAAUAAGCCCCGGCUAAUUACGUGCCAGCAGCCGCGGUAACACGUAAGGGGCGAGCGUUGUUCGGAAUUAUUGGGCGUAAAGGGCGCGUAGGCGGCCGCGCAAGUCCGAUGUGAAAACCCCGGGCCCAACCCGGGAACGGCAUUGGAAACUGCGGGGCUUGAGUCACGGAGGGGCAGCCGGAAUUCCUGGUGUAGGGGUGAAAUCUGUAGAUAUCAGGAAGAACACCGGUAGCGAAGGCGGGCUGCCAGCCGAUGACUGACGCUGAGGCGCGAAAGUGCGGGGAGCAAACAGGAUUAGAUACCCUGGUAGUCCGCACUAUAAACGAUGCACACCAGGUGUCGGGGCGAGUCGCCUCGGUGCCGGAGCGAACGCGAUAAGUGUGCCGCCU